rnacentral:lncRNA from 1 species
AAAUCAAACGAACCAAGUCUCUAUUUGUAGAAAAAAAAAAUUAUGAAUUUUGGUAUAAAAAUAAAAAAAUAAAAAAUUAAUUUACAACGAAAUAAUUGAGUUCAAAGUAUUAAAUGAACAAAAAUCACGCGCAGCCAACCAUUGUGUGACACGUGUCCUACUUUUAAAAAGCAAAUUUUUCUCUCUCCAGGUUGUAAUCCAGUGUGCCGCAGGCGCUGGAAUCUGAUGGAUCAGGAUGAUCUGGGCUGUCUGAUUGAUCAGACAGUCUUGAUGAGAUCAGAUCUUGGCUGUCUGAUGGAAAUCAACGGUCUGUAACCAUGGUCCUUCGGUACGCGCGCGACACUGGAUCCGCGUCUAUUAUUGGUUUUAGAAGGUGGGGAGCGUGUAUAUGGUUGGUAAAAUUACAGAAAUGCCCCUGUUGCUCUAUUCUUUCAAAAAUUAAAAGAAUGGGUAUUUUGGUCCAAUUGAAAAGGUGCACCUUGCUAACUUAGACCUAACUAGGGUC